rnacentral:tRNA from 1 species
CGGGGUGUAGCGCAGUUGGCUUAGCGCGCAAGCAUGGGGUGCUUGAGGUCCCGGGUUCAAGUCCCGGCACUCCGA